AACAAAUAUGUCCGCGGAAAUUAAUAGAGGGCAAUGUAGAUCUUUUGUUCACAAAAUAUCAAUUUAUAUAUCUAUAUAUCUAAGUAUAACUUUCAUGAUAAAGUACAAAACCGCGUAUAUAAUAGCAUACCAUAGGUACAACUCAACUCAUAACUGAUGACAAUUAAGGAACAUUGCAACAACGUCACAGGACAUAUUCAAAAAGAGAAAGACAGCUGUAAAAAUGUGGAAAUAAAAAUCAAAAUUAUAAUUCAUUUUUUCAAUGUGUUUUUGAUAGGGAUGCGUCUAUUCUGAUUAGUAUCAUCCCAUCAGAUAUAUGGUCACCAUUUAAACCACUCUUCACUGGAGAUCAUAAAGUUUCUUUCACAUUUUGAGUACUUUUCCAUAGCAGUUCCAUCUGUAUUGACCGUCAGAAUUUUUU
rnacentral:lncRNA from 1 species